CCUUCCGGGGGCGCGCGCGCCGGUGCGGGUGCGUGCGUGAGCGUGCGCGUCCCCGCCGCCUCUGCCGGUGCUGCUCCCGCGCCCUCUGCUGCCGCCGUCGCCCGAGUCCCCCGCUGAGGAGCGCGUCGGCCGGCGGCCCAGCAGCGCCGCGGAGCGGGAGCCGAGCCGCGAGCCGGCGGGCGGCGGGCGGGCACAGACGAGCCUACCAUGGCAGACCAGAGGCAGCGAUCCCUGUCCACGUCUGGGGAGUCGCUGUACCAUGUGCUCGGGCUGGACAAGAAUGCGACCUCAGACGACAUCAAGAAGUCCUACCGGAAGCUCGCCUUGAAAUAUCACCCUGACAAGAACCCCGAUAACCCCGAGGCUGCAGACAAGUUCAAGGAGAUCAACAACGCGCACGCCAUCCUGACGGACGCGACCAAGAGGAACAUCUACGACAAGUACGGCUCGCUCGGGCUCUACGUGGCUGAGCAGUUUGGCGAAGAGAACGUCAACACGUACUUCGUGCUGUCCAGCUGGUGGGCCAAGGCGCUGUUUGUCUUCUGCGGGCUGCUUACCUGCUGCUACUGCUGCUGCUGCCUGUGCUGCUGCUUCAACUGCUGCUGCGGGCGCUGCAAGCCCAAGGCCCCCGAGGGCGAGGAGACCGAGUUCUACGUGUCGCCCGAGGACCUGGAGGCCCAGCUGCAGUCUGACGAGCGGGGAGGGCACUGACACGGUGCCGCGGGUGUGUGUGGCGGCAGCUGGCACUGUUGAGGUGUGAACCAGGAGCCCGGAGAGGCCUCGGACGCGCCCAUCGUCACCCAGCCGGCCUCCGCCACAGAGACCACCCAGCUCACGGCUGACUCCCACCCCAGCUACCACACCGACGGGUUCAAUUAGGCCAGAGCAGCUGUGACGAGAGGACCGGCCGGCGCCCGGCCGCUGCACCCCCAGCCAUGAACUGUAGUCGGCCCCGCCCGCCCGCCCGCCCAGGCGUAGCAUGCAGUACGUAAAGCAGUGUCGCUGCAGUCUCCUGUCUCCUUUUGUGAUAGCAUGUGUGAGUCACGCUCCGUGUCUGUGUCGUGGACGUGCCCGUGGUGGGGCUGCCGGCCAGCCGGCCGGUGCAGCCGGGGCCGCCCCGCACCUUCCCGCUGCUCCGUGCUCCGGUCCGGGGCGGCUGCUGCCCGGGGUGGGGCCCAGCGGCGUCUGUGCAGGACCCUGGCCGGACCACCAGGCUCUCCCCAGGGCGAGGGUCCGUGUCUGAGAGUGAAGCCACGUUUUGUGUGCCGUGUUCCCCGGGGGUCCUCGUCGCAUCCUGCCGGUGAGGAGGUCGUCUGUCUGCGUCCCUGUCCCUUUCCUAGGCCGUGAGCUGCACCCACGGGGCCCCGGCUCCCCCUGCCCGGGGCUGUCCCCCACAUUCCUUCCAGCGGGCCUGCCCCUCGCGUAGACUCACAGACGUAGCCCCGGCCCCAGUAGUCGUAGUCAGAGCCUGGGAGUCCAGCCUGUGGCCACGUGGGACGUCAGCACGCACCUGUGACAGACAGCCCCAACCCUGCCUGUGCUUGCCCUGCCUCCCCCCGCCCCCGCCCCGCCCCGCCCCGCCCGUGGCACCCGGCUCCUGCAGGAAGGACCAGGGAGGCCAUGGUGCAAGCUGGCAGCUGGACCUGGGACUCCCUGUAGGAACUGAUGUUAGUCUCCUGUGUCGCAGACCUUGUGGGCGGCACACGGGUGGGACCAGCGGCCUGUGCCGAUGUUGCUUUUGGCUGCUGGCUGCGUGACCGAGGUCAGGUGGCCCCGGGCGUUGCCAGGGCAGAGCUGAGGGGAGUGGGAUGUGCCGGCGGAGGGGCCCGGCUGGGGCCCAGCCACACACAGCUUCAUUUGUCCCAUUCUGCUUUGUUUUUUAAACAAAUGAUCGUUAAAGUGACCACGAAAGCGUUGAGAAGUCGGGGAAGAGAGCAGCAGGCCCCGUCUCCUGUGUGGAAUUUGUAAAACGAAAUGAAUCAUGUAGAAUUUGUAAAACGAAAUAAAUAAAACUGUUCUCAA